UACGUAGGGUGCGAGCGUUGUCCGGAAUUAUUGGGCGUAAAGGGCUCGUAGGCGGUUUGUCGCGUCGGGAGUGAAAACUCAGGGCUUAACCCUGAGCCUGCUUCCGAUACGGGCAGACUAGAGGUAUGCAGGGGAGAACGGAAUUCCUGGUGUAGCGGUGAAAUGCGCAGAUAUCAGGAGGAACACCGGUGGCGAAGGCGGUUCUCUAGGCAUUACCUGACGCUGAGGAGCGAAAGCGUGGGGAGCGAACAGG
rnacentral:rRNA from 1 species